UCCUCUGUUUUUCUCCUUUCUGUCUCAGUGUCAUCAAACCUCAAACCGGUCCAUGUGGUUCUUCCUGCAACUCUCUUGUGGAUUUUUUGGAUCUUCUGUUGGACUGUCUGGAUUCAUCAAACAUUUUGAAAGGUGAUGGACAGAAGAAUAACUCCAGGGAUAAAACCAGCAGAUAUCUUAUCUGUCACUAAAGAGGACGAUGAAUCCGCGGGGUACGCCGGCAGAGAAAAGUAAUCAAAGACCUCCAGCUCACCUCGACGUGCCGCUCUCCCUCGCACACAUGCACACGCCGUUUUGUUCCUCGUUCACGUCAGCCCUCCUUCCCCCGGCCGCUUUGACUGACAGUGGAGCCCGGGGAGCUGGAGUCAUACAGGCACAACGGAGACAUCUGUUUCUGUCAGACAGAGUUAGGUUUGAUUCUCAUGGAGCACAGAUGCCAUUAGAAGUAGAUGUCACAACACUCUUGGAUGAAUCUGUUUGGGCUGAAGCGAUCUGUUGCCUUCCAUCCAUCACUGACCGGUGGAAACAGGAACACUUAAUGCCUCACUUCACAUCUGCAGGCACUAAGUUGGAAAAUGUUGCCUGUAUGUUUUCUUCCCCUGCUUUGCAUGCUUGAAUUCUCCCUUUUAACGCCUCUCUUAAGUCAAAGCGUCCUUUUUAAAAAUCAUUUGUCAUUUCUGAGCGCAGGAUGAACAGUGGAAGUGCUGCUGAAGAGUUACAACUUAACAGAAGAAGCUGCACACUGUGAAAUAAAUUGAUGUGACUGCUGUUGCAAAUAAAAUAAAAAAAGUGUG